UAGCCUUUAAGUCUUUACCGGUUGAGACAUAAACUGAAACAAUCAAUCAAUCAGGUCUAAAAAUAGAAAGCGGCUUGGUGUUUGGUGUUUGGGAUGGACGUAAAGACUAAAGUACUAAAGAGGAUUAAUAAAUAUAACGGGAUCUUAUCGGGAGAUGCUUGGUGGUGCUUGCUCCUGUUCGUCGCGUAUGGAUGAUCAGACAGUCCAAGGUUGCGGUAUGUCAAAGGAUGAACUAUGUACAUGUGCGUUAGGGGGGGGGGGGAAGAGGGACAUGUGACGUGGGAGGAGCAUGAGGACAUUAGGGACCAGUGAAGUUUUUAUAUGAAGCCAGACUAUGAGAGAGUUAAGCUUGUGUUGUUGUUAGAAUUAUUUUUAUGAGUUGGUGUAAUUUUGUUGUCUCGUUUUUAUUUUUUGUGUUAAAUAACUCAUUGAUUUUUUGAUGUAUUUGGUCGUUUAUAAAAGUGAGGUUUAAGAAGCUUUUUUCGAUCGGCAUUAAAUAGUUUGCAUUCUAGUAAGUAAUGGAAUUCAUCCCCAAUUUUGUUACAGGUUGUACAGGUCCUUAAAUCUAUAGGUUUACUGUUCCAAUUUCCAACUUCAAUCGGUAGCCUGUGGUUUCUUGUCCUGAUUCUGAUUACAAAUUUUAGAAAUGCAUGUGGUGUGUUUACUAAAUAUGAUUCAAACCUGAAGUUUCUUUUAAUCCGUUUAUAGAAAGUACUAUUACUACAGUUUUCAAUUGAUGAUAACCAUUCAUUUAUAAACAGGUCUUUAAGUUUUUGCUUAACAAGUAUUUUAAGCCAGUCAGUGCUAGGAUAACUUUGUGAGCUCCACACAUGCAUUAUUCCACAUGUUAUUAAAAUUGAUUUGACAUUGCAAAACCAAGGAUAAAGGCGUGUAAGUGACUGAUCGUCAAGAUGUUUGCAUGUAUUGAGCAUUGACAUAUAAAUUGUUGUGGAUA